rnacentral:tRNA from 1 species
GCAUUGGUAGUAUAGUGGUGCACAGAGCUGCGUUCUAAGUAGUUGACCUGGGUUCAAUUCCCAGCCAACACA